UGUUAUGGCGGCUGUGCGUGGGAGGCAUUCGUGCCUGCCGGGUUCCUAACGUCCCGGUUUACCAACCUGCGCACAGCUGCCACCCAU
rnacentral:antisense_RNA from 1 species